GACGAACGCUGGCGGCGUGCUUAACACAUGCAAGUCGAACGGGCCCGCCCCUGUUUUUGGGGGUGGGUUGAGUGGCGAACGGGUGAGUAUCACGUGAGUAACCUGCCCCCUGCUCCUGGAUAACUGCUUGAAAGGGCGGCUAAUACGGGGUGUGCCGGCUGGUCCGCAUGGGCCUGGUCGGGAUAGUUUCAUCUUCGGGUGUUUCGGUGGGGGAUGGGCUCGCGGCCUAUCAGCUUGUUGGUGGGGUGAUGGCCCACCAAGGCGGUGACGGGUAGCCGGCCUGAGAGGGUGGGCGGCCACACUGGGACUGAGACACGGCCCAGACUCCUGCGGGAGGCAGCAGUGGGGGGUAUUGCACAAUGGGCGGAAGCCUGAUGCAGCGACGUCGCGUGAGGGAUGGAGGCCUUCGGGUUGUGAACCUCUUUCUCCGGUGGUGAAGGCCCUGUCCGUUGCGGCGGGGUUGACAGUAGCCGGGUAUGAAGCGCCGGCUAACUACGUG
rnacentral:rRNA from 1 species